UAAUGCAUAGGAAUCUGCCCGGUAGUGGGGGAUAACCUGAGGAAACUCAGGCUAAUACCGCAUACGUCCUACGGGAGAAAGCAGGGGCUCUUCGGACCUUGCGCUAUCGGAUGAGCUUAUGUCGGAUUAGCUGGUUGGUGAGGUAACGGCUCACCAAGGCGACGAUCCGUAGCUGGUCUGAGAGGAUGAUCAGCCACAUCGGGACUGAGACACGGCCCGAACUCCUACGGGAGGCAGCAGUGGGGAAUAUUGGACAAUGGGGGCAACCCUGAUCCAGCCAUGCCGCGUGUGUGAAGAAGGCCCUCGGGUUGUAAAGCACUUUCAGUGAGGAAGAAGGCUUGUCGGUUAAUACCCGGCAAGAAAGACAUCACUCACAGAAGAAGCACCGGCUAACUCCGUGCCAGCAGCCGCGGUAAUACGGAGGGUGCGAGCGUUAAUCGGAAUUACUGGGCGUAAAGCGUGCGUAGGCGGCUUGAUAAGCCGGUUGUGAAAGCCCCGGGCUCAACCUGGGAACGGCAUCCGGAACUGUCAGGCUAGA
rnacentral:rRNA from 1 species